rnacentral:rRNA from 1 species
CAAUAGCGUAUAUUAACGUUGUUGCAGUUAAAAAGCUCGUAGUUGGAUUUCUGGAGGGAGCGUCGGCCCGUAUUUACGAGUGCGUGACGUCUCUGUCCAUCCUUGCGGGAAGGCACGGCAUUGAUUUGUUGUGUCGGAUCGCAUCAUUUACUGUGAAAAAAUUAGAGUGUUCAAAGCAGGCUUUCGCUUGAAUACAUUAGCAUGGAAUAGUAAGAUAGGACUUUGGUGCUAUUUUGUUGGUUGAGCCUAAAGUAAUGAUUAAUAGGGAUAGUUGGGGGCACCUGUAUUGCGUUGUCAGAGGUGAAAUUCUUGGAUUUACGCAAGACAAACAGCUGCGAAAGCGUCUGCCAAGGAUGUUUUCAUUAA